AAGUUAGCCAAAUGGGAGCUGAUUGGUGAAUUGAAACUGAAACUGGAAAACUGGAAAACUGGCAUGGCUCUGUGUUAAGCUCUGAGCUCUGAAGCUGCAAGGUUUUCUGCCUGCUGUACUCUGCUUGUGUUUUGCUUGUAACUGCUGUUGGAAGAAAUCUGCUCUUGGCUGAAGGAAAAGUUGAGGUUGCUUAUGAAAGAAAGUAUGGUGACAUUUUAUUUGAAUAGUGGUGACUGGAGUCUAUGCUCUCUGGAAUCCACUAUCUAGAACUAUGUAUGUGGACACAUAUCCAGUUCACUCAUUCUGUUAUGUUAAGGGGAUGACUUCAUAGCAACUUCUGUUGAACCUCCAGUAGACCUAAAGCCUAUGGUAACCUAGAAUCUCAAAUUAUGCUCCUCAAGUAGAACAGGGCUACUUGCAGGUAAAAAAGGGAAGGUCUCAACUGUCCUCUCAAAUCUCACUGGCUCAAGGUUGACUCAGCCUUCCAUCCUUCCAAGAAAAUACCUACCAUUUCGGUGGAAAAAGUUUUGUAUUUCAGCUUGAGAGGUGAUAAGCAGUUCUUGUACAUCGGCCCCAUCACCAUGGAGCAGGGAGCUGAGAGGUUUGAAGAACUGAAAUGUCACUUUUGUAUAUUCACAUGGAUUCUGGAAUACAGAAACAACUAGAUUUUUUUUUUUAUUAUUCCUGAAAGACAGUAUUUCUUCAGUAAGUCAGCCCUAAUUGCCUGCAGGGUGUUUGGCUUUUGUUUUGUUUUUUUUUCCUUCAGACUUGACAAGUUGUUCUCCUGAGUAGGGAAUAAAAUGUAAUUGCUCUUGGCCAUAUAGACCAA